UUUUAUGGAGAGUUUGAUCCUGGCUCAGGAUGAACGCUGGCGGCGUGCCUAAUACAUGCAAGUCGAGCGAACGGACGAGAAGCUUGCUUCUCUGAUGUUAGCGGCGGACGGGGGAGUAACACGUGGAUAACCUAACUAUAAGACUGGGAUAACUUCGGGAAACCGGAGAUAAUACCGGAUAAUAUUUUUAAACGCAUGGCUCAAAAGGGGAA
rnacentral:rRNA from 1 species